AAAGCUUUUCAACUCCAUGACGGUGACUGUUUUUCUCUUUUUCUCCCUGCAGACGAUGAAAACUUCUCUGUGAAAUACUUCCACCUGGUAAGAGACAAAUUGAGAUUUAGAUUUGCAUCGAUUUAAUGAUUAAAAGCUCAAACAGAAAUUGGUGACAGGGCUUUUGGGUAGUCUGCGCCCUUAGUCUGGAAGUCAAAAUGAAAGACGUCGAAGAUUUUUCAGGAUGGUGUUUUCUGGUCUUUGCCAGAUCUGCCCUGAAAAGGUUAUUUUUAAUCUCAAUUAGACCAACCUGGUUAAAUUAAUCAUUUAUUUGUAUUUUCUUUUCAUUUUUAGAUUGAUCCUGAUGUAGAAGAGGACGAGAACAAGAGCCCAGAGAGGAAGAAGUUAAAACUAAAGGAAGUGCACCUCACCAAGCUGCUCUCCACUAAGGCAAGAGGAAGCAGUCACAGUCAUUUCACCCAGAAGUGCACCAACACUAACAGAGGCUCUCUUUAGUGUUUAUUUCGACUGUGUGCAGCAGCUUUUGUUGCAUUUCUAGUGUAUUUUGUUUUGCUUUAGACUGAGCAGAUUUUAAAACUUUUAACCCCCUGUAUACACGAUAAGUUUGAACUUCACUAACAUGAUGUUUUUUAGUUUGCUACACCCAUUUUUUUUCCCCAUGUACUGCACUUUAGACCCUUUAUCCGAGGCUGUUAGUACAUUUGGCGCCACCUUGUGGUAUUAACACCACCGUACACUCACCGGUAUCAAAAUAAAUGGCAGCUAUUUCAGCCAAAUCCUUUGAAAGCUUUUUCCCAGAUAAAGAUUAACUUUUAAAAAUACAGCGAGGGCUACGACAGCAGCCAUCAAACAUGGUCUAAUCUCAUCCUUUCUCUUGAAGGUGGCCGUUCAUUCAUAUGUGGAGAACCUGUUCAGAUCUAUCUGGGGGAUGCCGCACUGUCGAGCCCCACAUGCUGUCAAAUAUUUCUUUGACUUCCUGGACACUCAGGCAGAGAACUUGAAGAUCACAGACCCUGAUGUGCUGCACAUCUGGAAGACCAACAGGUACUGCUGAGUCAUCAGAACCACAUCUGUUAAUAGGAAGAGGAAUAAAAAUCCUAACAUGUGUUUUCUUACCUUGUCCUUUUACAGUUUGCCUCUGCGCUUCUGGAUCAACAUCCUCAAAAACCCUCAGUUUGUUUUCGACAUGGAGAAGACCCCGCAUCUGGACGGCUGCCUGUCAGUCAUCGCUCAGGCCUUCAUGGACUCUUUCUCUCUGAGUGAACUCCAGCUGGGGAAGGUCGGAGCACAACAAAUGUCUCAAAGCAAAAACAAGAGCUCCCAUAUUGGGUUUAUAAAUUUAAAUCACAAUAAAAAGAAAGAAAAGUUAACACCAACAUCUCUGAUUUUGAUGUCCUCUAGCAUGCUCCCACCAACAAACUCCUCUACGCCAAAGACAUCCCCAAGUUCAAACAGGAAGUAAAGGUGUACUACAAGCAGAUCAGAGAUCAGCCACCAAUCACUGACCCAGGAUUUAAGGACUUCCUGCAGGAGGAGUCAAAGGUACAGAUCAUUUCAACCCAAAGUACUCAAAAUGAAAUAGUCACUGUUAUAUAAAAGAUAGAUUUGAGUUUUUUUUUUCAUUUCAGAAACAUGAAAACGAGUUCAAUGAAGCUGCAGCACUGAGGGAGCUCUUCAAAUUUGUCCUGAGAUACUUCACAGAGGUCAGUUUUUCGAGAAGGGGGAAAUAUGGCGGGGAUUGUAUGUUUCAAGCUUCUCCACCUGUCUAGCUACUAAACAUGAUCACAUGAUGACACAGUCAGAAGUGACUUCACUUGUGAAACUAGUGUUCGUGCUUGUGUGUGUGUGUGUAGGGGAAAUGACUGUCAGGGCUUUAAGAUUUCGCUUUGCUUCAUCUGGGCUGUUGUUUCCUGUUUAAGUGCACUGACUGACCCUAUUUCUGAACAUGCCACCGCAAAAGCAACCGUCAUGAGCAGUUCAGAGAGACUUGGAGUUUUCAGUUUUUAAAAGCAGUUGUCAAUUUCCUUUAAGAGAAAUUUUCAAACCUAAAAUUAAACAGAAUCAGGGCCCAAAAUAUGGAAACCGUUCUGGAUGUUUACUUUGGUCAGAGGUACAAAAAAGUAGGGGUGGGAAUCACUAGUGGUCCCAAGGCACUAGUGGUUUCCCCGCUCGCUUCUCUAGUUAUACCAACUUUAUUAACGACUGCACGGUAGCAAAAUACAGAGGUCUACCUCUCCAUGUGCAAACCUCAACCAAAACUCCACUCUAUAGCCACAAAUGAUGCUCAGAACAGCACCUAACUUCAUCAACAGAUGCAUGAUUUCUUUAGCAAAGAGACUAAACACAACUCACCUACUCUCUUCCAGCAGCCACUAUUUUGUAGGGAGACAGUCCAUUACCGACUGCAGUGGGGUGACGCAGCUCAAGGAAGAACAUUUAUGAUCACUACUUCAUGGAAAUGCAAUCAGACCGAAACGUUUAGGCAGGAGAGCUACCACGUCUGCAGUGCAAAACGUUUAAUAUGAUGAUUAUUACUUCAUGGAAAUGAUUAAGUAAAGUAAAGCUGUGUAUUGCUAUCCUGCGGUCGUUACUAAAGUUGGUAUAACUAGAGAAGCAAGCGGUCAGCAACUUUCAUCUCUCGACGGAGUGUCUAACUCAGUGUUACGGUUUGUUUGACCCUAACUUAAUUUUACGCCAGAAUAUCCCUUUGACGUUUUUAAAAAUAACCGGGUAUGUAUAAACAGGGUCUGAAACUUCCAGGGCUCUGGUUUAGCUCCACAGAGCAAGUGCUACAUGUACAGAAGCUAAUCCCCAUCACAUGAGCAGCAAGAUUGAUGACAGGCCCCAACAUUUUUUGAUGCAUGUCACCUCCCACUGCUUACUCUCACUUCCUGACUUUCUUCACCUAAUUUUCACUCUCCAUCAAAGGUACACCCCAAAUAAACCCUCAUCCGGGUAGAAUUUUGAUUAUAUUCUACGUAAAGAAAGCGAUUUGUGUUCAAACUGCUUAUCCGAAUAUCCAUCUUCCUGCAGAUUAAAGAGAAGUUGGACCAAAACGGAGCCCCUGCUGAGCUGAAAGAGCAGCUACAUGAAGUUAAAAACUCAUUUGGUGGAGUAAAAAGCUGCUCCUGGAACUGAGCAGAUGCAUGAACUAUGUAAGACACAGAGGGAGGAAAACUGUUACCGUAGAGCCAUCGGGAGAGGACUGAGGAGACUUCUGCACAGCUUGCAACACGUCCUGCAGAAGUGGAAAUGAAGGAACUAAAGAUGAGCAGCGAACCAUGUCGGGAACUGUGUGUCUUCAAAACUCUGGGUUUUCUGCUCGAACAUGACAAAAGUCUUCUGCAGUUCUUGGCAUUAAAACGGUCAUCCUUGAGAGGCACAUUUCAACUGAACUGAAGGGAUGAAUGUCUGGUUUCUGUUCUGUAGCUUCACUGUGGAAAAAAAACUCAGAAUCCCAAACAGAGACCAACCACGGAGAAAAGAUUUAUCUGUACAUUAUUUUUUUCAAAACAAUUCAAAUACAACAAGUUUGAAUCAACCAUGUGCAAUUUGUAUCGACUCAUAUGUAUUUUUUUCCCUGAGUGCUUGGAGGGAAAAUCUGUAAACAAACAUGUCAAUACAAAAAUCAAACCCUGAGGGACUUUUUAAAAAA
rnacentral:lncRNA from 1 species